rnacentral:rRNA from 1 species
UAGGGAAUCUUCCGCAAUGGGCGAAAGCCUGACGGAGCAACGCCGCGUGAGUGAAGAAGGUCUUCGGAUCGUAAAACUCUGUUAUUAGGGAAGAACAAAUGUGUAAGUAACUAUGCACGUCUUGACGGUACCUAAUCAGAAAGCCACGGCUAACUACGUGCCAGCAGCCGCGGUAAUACGUAGGUGGCAAGCGUUAUCCGGAAUUAUUGGGCGUAAAGCGCGCGUAGGCGGUUUUUUAAGUCUGAUGUGAAAGCCCACGGCUCAACCGUGGAGGGUCAUUGGAAACUGGAAAACUCGAGGGAAGAAGAGGAAAGUGGAAUUCCAUGUGUAGCGGUGAAAUGCACAGAGAUAUGGAGGAACACCAGUGGCGAAGGCGACUUUCUGGUCUGUAACUGAAGCUGAUGUGCGAAAGCGUGGGGAUCAAACAGG